CCGCCUUGUGGAUGAGGACGGAAUAGGCGCCGCUGCGCCCGGCGGAGGCCUCUUCCCGCGCUUCGGCGAUGAUCGUGUCGCCGACGCGGGCC
rnacentral:tRNA from 1 species